rnacentral:rRNA from 1 species
GACAGAGGGUGCAAACGUUGUUCGGAAUCACUGGGCAUAAAGCGCACGUAGGUGGCGGCGUAAGUCGGGUGUGAAAUCCCUCGGCCUAACCGAGGAACUGCGCCCGAUACUGCGUUGCUUGAGGGUCAAAGGGGUGCAUGGAAUUCCCGGUGGAGCGGUGAAAUGCGUUGAUAUCGGGAGGAACGCCGGCGGCGAAAGCGGUGCACUGGUUGACUUCUGACACUCAUGUGCGAAAGCCAGGGGAGCAAACGGG